rnacentral:rRNA from 1 species
AUUGAACGCUGGCGGCAGGCCUAACACAUGCAAGUCGAGCGAGCGGCGGACGGGUGAGUAAUGUCUGGGAAACUGCCUGCUGGAGGGGGAUCACUACUGGAAACGGUAGCUAAUACCGCAUACUAUCAGAUGUGCCCAGAGGGGAUUAGCUAGUAGGUGGGGUAACGGCUCACCUAGGCGACGAUCCCUAGCUGGUCUGAGAGGAUGAUCAGCCACACUGGGACUGAGACACGGUCCAGACUCCUACGGGAGGCAGCAGUGGGGAAUAUUGCACAAUGGGCGAAAGCCUGAUGCAGCCAUGCCGCGUGUGUGAAGAAGGCCUUCGGGUUGUAAAGCACUUUCAGCGGGGAGGCGUUACCGACAGAAGAAGCACCGGCUAACUCCGUGCCAGCAGCCGCGGUAAUUC